CAAAUGUUCCUGGGACCUUUCUCAAAACUCAGUUGGCUGUAGAUAUGAGGAUUAAUUUCUGGGUUCUCGAUUCUGUUCCUUUGGUCUAUGUGUCUGUUUUUACACCAGUACCAUGCUGUUUUGGUUACUAUCACUCUGUAGUAUAUUUUAAAGUCUGAUAGUAUGAUGUCUCCAGCUUUGUCCUUUUUGUUCAGGAUUGCUUUGGCUAUUCCAGGUCCUUUAUGGUUCCAUACAAAUUUUAACUUUUUUUUCCCUAUUUCUGUGAAGAAUGUCAUUGGUAUAGAAUGUCAUUGAUAGGACUGCAUUGAAUCUGUAGAUUGCUUUGGGUAGUGCCCACUUGCAGUUUAAUCCAAACGUAACUUCUACAAUGUGGAUGUUAAUUUUAUGAAAGCAUAAUUUUUAAAGUUUAGACUAUAAUCAAAAUGUUCUGUAUAGACUCUUAGGUGAAAGUGAAGAGGGGGGCACCACCGUGUAAAUGUUCCUUCAUCUUUUUACAUCUGAAAAUAGUAUUUUUACUCUAUUCAGUUUCUUCUUUUUUUUUUUUUUUUUUUUUUUUUUGAGAUGGAGUCUCACUGUGUGGCCAGGCUGGAGUACAGUGGCACAGUCUUGGCUCACUACAAUCUCUGCCUCAGGGGUUCAAGUGAUUCUCCUGCCUCACUCCCGAGUAGCUGGGAUUACAGGCACACACCACCAUGCCUGCCUAAUUUUCAUAUUUUUAGUAGAGGUGGGGUUUCACCAUGUUGGCCAGGAUGGUCUCAAUCUCCUGACUUCGUGAUCUGCCCGCCUCAGCCUCCCAAAGUGCUGGGAUUACAGGCGUGAGCCCCUGUGCCUGGCUCAGUUUCUUAUUUA
rnacentral:lncRNA from 10 species